CAGAUCAGACCCUGCCUGUUGGAGACAACAGCAGAGACGGAACUGUGGGAGGAAGGGAGGCCAGGACCAGCCAAGAGGGCUGGCAGCUGGCCCCCCCAAUCCCUGCUGCGGGGGCGUCCUAGUGAAGUUUCUUGCCUCCUCAGCCCUCUUGUGCCCUCCCGAGGUCUUGCUGCUUUUCAACCAUCUCUGGCCUGAGUAAAGUCUCGCUCUGUCUCCCAGUCUGGAGUGCGGUGGCAUGAUCUUGGCUCACUGCAACAUCCGCCUCCCAGGUUCAAGUGAUUCUCCUGCCUCAACCUCCUGAGUAGCUGGGACUACAGGUGCUCACCACCAUGCCUGGCUAAUUUUUGUACUUUUUAGUAGAGACAGGGUUUUGCCAUGUUGGCCAGGCUGGUCUUGAACUUCUGACUUCAAGCGAUCUGCCCAUCUUGGCCUCCUAAAAUGCUGGGAUUACAGGCGUGAGCCACCAUACCCGGCUUGUUCUCUUCUUGAUGAAUUAAAGUUUUACUACUUUGUAGUGAUCCUCUGGAUCCCUAAUAAUGUUUCCUGUCUAGGAGCCUGGCUCAUAUGAUACUAAUAUGCUACACAGCUUUCUUUUUGUUCAUAUUUGCCUAUCAUGUCAUUUUCCAUCCUUUUGCUUUCAACUGUUGUAUGUCCUUAUGCUUGAGUGUCUCUUAUAAAUAGCACAUAUCUGGAUUUUAAAAAUUCAAUUUGUUAAUCAAGUGAGUGGUGAAUUCCUUCCAAAUACAUUUAUUAUUUAUAAUUAUUAUAUUAUAUAUUAUAAAUAUAAUCAUUUAUAAUUAUUU
rnacentral:lncRNA from 1 species